rnacentral:rRNA from 1 species
GACGAACGCUGGCGGCGUGCUUAACACAUGCAAGUCGAACGGAAAGGCCCUGCUUUUGUGGGUUUCUCGAGUGGCGAACGGGUGAGUAACACGUGAGUAACCUGCCCUUGACUUUGGGAUAACUUCAGGAAACUGGGGCUAAUACCGGAUAGGAGCUCCUGCUGCAUGGUGGGGGUUGGAAAGUUUCGGCGGUUGGGGAUGGACUCGCAGCUUAUCAGCUUGUUGGUGGGGUAGUGGCUUACCAAGGCUUUGACGGGUAGCCGGCCUGAGAGGGUUACCGGCCACAUGGGGACUGAGAUACGGCCCAGAAUCCUACGGGAGGCAGCGGUGGGGAAUAUUGCACAAUGGGCGGAAGCCUGAUGCAGCAACGCCGCGUGCGGGAUGACGGCCUUCGGGUUGUAAACCGCUUUCGCCUGUGACGAAGCGUGAGUGACGGUAAUGGGUAAAGAAGCACCGGCUAACUACGUG